CUACGUGCCAGCAGCCGCGGUAAUACGUAGGGGGCAAGCGUUAUCCGGAUUUACUGGGUGUAAAGGGAGCGUAGACGGAAUGGCAAGUCUGAAGUGAAAUACCCGGGCUCAACCUGGGAACUGCUUUGGAAACUGUUGUUCUAGAGUGUUGGAGAGGUAAGUGGAAUUCCUGGUGUAGCGGUGAAAUGCGUAGAUAUCAGGAAGAACACCGGAGGCGAAGGCGGCUUACUGGACAAUAACUGACGUUGAGGCUCGAAAGCGUGGGGAUCAAACAGGAUUAGAUACCCUGGUAGUCCACGCUGUAAACGAUGAAUACUAGGUGUCGGGGUGCAAAGCAUCUCGGUGCCGUCGCUAACGCAAUAAGUAUUCCACCUGGGGAGUACGUUCGCAAGAAUGAAACUCAAAGGAAUUGACGGGGGCCCGCACAAGCGGUGGAGCAUGUGGUUUAAUUCGAUGCAACGCGAAGAACCUUACCUACUCUUGACAUCCAGAGAACAUUC
rnacentral:rRNA from 1 species